rnacentral:tRNA from 2 species
GGUCCCAUCGUCUAGCGGUUAGGACACUGGCCUUUCACGUCGGUAACAGGGGUUCAAGUCCCCUUGGGAUCACCA